rnacentral:rRNA from 1 species
UACGGAGGAUGCGAGCGUUAUCCGGAUUUAUUGGGUUUAAAGGGUGCGUAGGCGGAUUUUUAAGUCAGCGGUAAAAUGUCCUGGCUCAACCCGGGCCGGCCGUUGAAACUGGGGAUCUUGAGUGGGCGAGAAGUAUGCGGAAUGCGUGGUGUAGCGGUGAAAUGCAUAGAUAUCACGCAGAACUCCGAUUGCGAAGGCAGCAUACCGGCGCCCGACUGACGCUGAGGCACGAAAGCGUGGGGAUCGAACAGG